AAGUCGUAACAAGGUUUCCGUAGGUGAACCUGCGGAAGGAUCAUUAAUGAACCUUUGAGAGUUGAGCUGGCUGAACUUCAGCAUGUGCUUGCUCUCUCAUCCUUUAUACACACUGUGCACUCUUGAGGGGAUUAGUAGACUCGCAAGAGUUGAAGUCCCCUUUUAUACAUACACUUUUAUUUUAUUAUUGAAUGUUUAAAGCUUAACAGCAUUAAAUUACAACUUUUAACAACGGAUCUCUUGGCUCUC
rnacentral:misc_RNA from 1 species